UACGGGAGGCAGCAGUGGGGAAUAUUGCACAAUGGGCGCAAGCCUGAUGCAGCCAUGCCGCGUGUAUGAAAAAGGCCUUCGGGUUGUAAAGUACUUUCAGUCGUGAGGAAGGUGUUAAGGUUAAUAACCUUAGCAAUUGACGUUAGCGACAGAAGAAGCACCGGCUAACUCCGUGCCAGCAGCCGCGGUAAUACGGAGGGUGCGAGCGUUAAUCGGAAUUACUGGGCGUAAAGGGCACGCAGGCGGUUAAUUAAGUUGGAUGUGAAAUCCCCGGGCUUAACCUGGGAAUGGCAUUCAAGACUGGUUAGCUAGAGUCUUGUAGAGGGGGUAGAAUUCCAUGUGUAGCGGUGAAAUGCGUAGAGAUGUGGAGGAAUACCGGUGGCGAAGGCGGCCCCUGGACAAAGACUGACGCUCAUGUGCGAAAGCGUGGGGAGCAAACGAGGAUUAGAUA
rnacentral:rRNA from 1 species